CGACUCUGGUUUCUCUUCAUUACGCACAAGCCUUUCGCCUUUUACUAAAGACUUCCGUGGAGAGGAACACUUACGAGUUCAUCGUAUUUUUGGAGAGGCUUUGCUUCUGGCAGAGCC
rnacentral:snRNA from 1 species